UCACCACUCAAGCAUUGCUUGGUAUUGGGCUACGCUGCUCUUGCGCGCGGUGGGCUCUAAAUUCAACGGCCGUCCCUGCUGGGUCUUAGGCGAAGUAACAUUACUCGUUCAAGCACCGGUAGAACGACGCGUCUCUCAAUUUAAUCUUU
rnacentral:misc_RNA from 1 species